UUAGCCAAUUUCACAUUAAUAAUAAUUUAAUAACUAUUUCCCUUUUUCAAUUGUUUUCUCACGUUCCCUUUUCUUCUCUUCUCCUUUCCAUCGUUCUCCCCGGGUUUGUUGCAGCCCCAUCCCCUAACCCUAGUUUUCAACAUGUCAAACAAUCACCAUACAUCACAACGUUGCCCGUCUAUCUCACUCAUACUGCUUCGACCGUCCCUCUUCAUUUUCUUCCCGGUUGCAGGUCUCUAGUCCUCUUGCUUACACUUUAUUUCUCUCUUUUUAGGUAAACAACUUCUAAUCAUUUUCUCUACAUAUUCUAAAAAAGAAGAAAUUCUAUGUUUUCGUUGAAAUCAGUUACGUCCAUUGGAUUUUGUUGCUUCAGCUAGUGAGUCAACUCGCUCUCUCCCCUAUGGAGAGUGAAAUUUCAAUUUUCUCACCUUGGUUAUUUUUGAAUCUGUUUUUUACUAACCCCAUUAAUGAAUUUUUGUUGUUUUAGUAGUUCUUAUAACAUUUUUGAAUUAGGAGGUUUUGUCAUGCUUCUGUAUGUAUUGUGAAGUCUUUAGCUUUUAUGUUGUGGUUACGGAAAAUUGAUGCGUUUGAGUGGUGGUGGUUUAAUGUUUCUGUAUGUGUAGUGAAGGUGCUUUUGGGGUAUGAUUACUAUUUUUGAAUAGUUUUAAUUUUUUGAUGUUGUAGGAUAUACACACCACGAUUUUUCCCAUUUUUUGUUAUUUGGGUUGCGUGUUGGAUUAGAAAGGUUUUUGUUUGUUAAUGUUUAUUACUUUGUUUUAUAGAUUGUGUACAUGAGAUGCAUCUAGUUGAUAUUCAAUAGAAAUAAUGGUUGAAGUUGAGGAUAAUGAUGAUUGAAGCUUGAAUGAAGAAAGUGAGGUUGAGAGAAGUUCUACUUUGUCUUCACUCCUACAAGUUUCCAACCCAAAUGUGUACAAAAUAUUCAGGUUUAGACCUUGUUACCCAAUUGUGACAUCUUAUGUGUUUCCUUUAGAUUUAUGGCUAAAGCUUUAUUCCAAGGCAUUUAAGUUUAAAGAUACACCUUUUUUUUUAGUCUAAGGUAUGAAGGAUUGUUGUUGAUGAUGUUUUGUAAAAGGGAAUGUGAUUGUUGUAUUAUGAUCACAUCAACUUUUUUAGGACGUUGAGAAUACUUGAUAAGGUUUCUUAUGGGACAACACUUAUUGUAUCCAUUAUAAUUGUUUACGCUGCAAUAAUUGCUCUUAUAACUAGCAGCCAAAGGUAUUUCACAACUGAGAUAUCUCAAUUAGUAGUUUACUUUAAAACUUUUGUGGUCUCAAUUCACUCAUAAUAUUUAUUAUUUACAGCAAGGAGGACAAUCGCGUAUGACAUGGAGACAAAUCUUAAGAUUUAGAAUUCACUUUCUUCAUUAAUCCAUCAGAUUUAAUAUGGUAGUUGAAAGCAUAUACUUAUGGUCAUUGCAUAUAAAUAUUUUGAAUUUGAUUUUUGAUAAUGACCAGAAAGCUAUGGUGAAACUGGGAUGCACAUAAAUUCUAGUGAUGACUUGUCUCUCGGUCGAAAUUUUAACUUGAUCAUGAAGGGACAAUUUAUUAUUCCAUCAAUCCUAUGUGGAUAAGAUCAACAACAACUACAAGAAAUAGUAUAUCAUCAUUACUCAAAGGGAAAAAAGUUCAUUUACAUCUUUUUAGGGGCUGAAUGAAAGGAGACUCAUAUUUGCAAGUUGCAGCCUAUGGAUAAAAUUUGUCUCCUAAAUGUAUAGAAGACUUCAAUUAAGGGAUGAAAAAGUUAACCAUGCAUGAUACAAACUAAAAAAAGGUUUUACUUACCUAAUCCCACUUGCUUAGUGUGGCUAGAAUUUUAAGUUCUGUUUGAUAUGUAACCAUGGGAAAGCUAACCAUGCAUGAUACAAAUUAGGAAAAGCUUGAACUUACUUAAUCCCACUUGUUUGGUGUGGCUAGUAAUAAACCAUGUGAAGAUCAGAUUAUUAAUGUAUUUUAUUUAUGGCUAUUGAUUUAAUAAUAUUAUACUAAGAUAUCACAAUGUAUUAGUUGCAUUUUAAGAAGGUAUGUUGUUCAGUUGUCCGUUGAGUUUCAUAGUAAAUAAUAUCUAAAUUGUAUAUGUGAUGUGAUAGCAAUUCCUUUUCAUUAAAUUUUCUCUCUUUGAAUUACUUUGAUUUCUAAAUAUUUCAACUUCGAUAUAAUAUUUUAUAGUUUUAGUAAUUAAGGUAAUUUAACAACAAUUAAAAUUUUUAGAAGUGACCCAAUCUUAUAUAAUGUAAGUUUGUAUUUAAAUAAAUAGAAUAUAAGAGAAAUGGAAUGCAAAUUGUGAAACAUGUUCGUAAAUUAGUGAGGGAAUUUGAAACAAGUCACUAAUUAGUGAGGGAAUCAAAAUACGUCCCUAAUUAGUGAGGGAACGAGUAAUUCGUAAAUAAUUAGUGACGGAAUUAAGAAAAAAAAUGAUGGUUUUGGAGAACUUUUAGUGAGGGAUUUAUUUACUUUUGUGAUGAUUAAAUUCCGUCACAAGUUGUGACGGAUGA